UACGUAGGGCGCAAGCGUUGUCCGGAAUUAUUGGGCGUAAAGAGCUCGUAGGCGGUCUGUCGCGUCCGUUGUGAAAACUCGAGGCUCAACCUCGGGCUUGCAGUGGAUACGGGCAGACUAGAGUGCGGUAGGGGAGACUGGAAUUCCUGGUGUAGCGGUGGAAUGCGCAGAUAUCAGGAGGAACACCGAUGGCGAAGGCAGGUCUCUGGGCCGCAACUGACGCUGAAUAGCGAAAGCGUGGGUAGCGAACAGG
rnacentral:rRNA from 1 species